rfam:Arabis alpina cultivar Pajares scaff_54892_1_contig_1, whole genome shotgun sequence.
AGGAUCUUACUUGAACAGGAUCUGUUCUAUAGGCUCGUACCUCUGUAUUCUUGAUUUCUAAGGAGACAGGCCCUUAACCCUGGUUGAUGAACCAUGACCGUUUGACUAGUGCGUGAUUAACGGCCACGAUCGAUCUUCAGAACGGUUCGGGGCUGUAGAGGAUCGAUUGUAGAACCCGAAUUUCUACAAUUGGGCAACCGAUAUAUGAA